GCAGAACUGGUCUGCAAACCUGGUGAGCAGAACUGGCAGUGACUCAAGCACAACUUGAUAAUAUGGUGUGUGCUGGGGAGGGUGGGGAAUGAAUUCCAUACAAAUUGGGGCCCUGACCCUUUGAUGAAAUUGCUGGGGUUCCAGUGGUCUGGGCCAUGCUGUGAUCGAUGUCUGACCUUUCCUUCUACCUCAGAGGAAGCACAGUGCCUCGUGGGUGUCUUUGGAUCUUGGAGGCAGCUCGUAUGUGAUAUCCCGACCCAUGUAGGAAUGACCUAAAAUGCUGUCUGCUUUCUGUGAGUCCCAGAACAAGAGAAGGCUCUGCAGCAAGUGCAUGUGGCCAUGAAAGCUGCUGAGCAACUUGAGCCAUGGGACCAACAGAUCCUAUGGCAUUUGAGGUGUCUAUGGCAGAUAAGGAUGCUGUGUAGGGGCCAUGAUAGGCUCCUGCAGUUGAAUCACAGACUGAUGGCAGUCAAGCUCUGCCAUCAUCUGUGGAUAACUCUGUGGAUUGCAUCUAGUCCUUCAGAGAGACUGGACAGGCCACCAAGUCACCAUGUGAUUGGAACUAUACAUCAUGAGUGGGAUGUUGCUGAACCCAGCAAGCCAUAGAGUCGGGCUUGCAUAGCUAUGUUCUGUCUUCAAGUGGAAGCAGCAUAUACAACUCGGGGGGCUCAGGCAGGCCCUGAAGGCACAAGCAACUUACAUGUAAAAGUGGCUCCAACACCUGUGGUCCCUACUCCUGCCAUUCUGCAGUCACUCUCUCAGCCAGCACCUGUGGCUUCGUAGGAAGUUCCCUGCAGCCUGAUCAUUGUGGAAGAACAAGUCUGGUCCCAGCUUACAGAUGCUUCUGCAUGAUACACACGGAUGACCAUGGAGCUCAGCCCCUCUGAGCAAUGGUAGUGAAGGGAAGGGCUCCCAGUGGGCAGAACUCUGGGCAGGGUCCCUGGGUGUUUUCAUUUUGCCUGGAAGGAGAGGUCAGAGCUACAGGUUCCACCCACUCAUGAUCAGUUGCUCCUGGCUCGGCCAGAUGGAUGGUCAGGGACUUGGAAGGAACGCAUUUGGGAAAACGGUAACAGGAGGUGUGGGGAAGUAUUGUGUGGUUAGAGCCCUCUGAAAGGGCGGAGUGUGAAGAUCCUUGCAGCCCACGUGUCAUUUGACAAAGAGCAACCGCCUCAGCCGAGGAGAAGCUCACUGACCAGGUAGAUAAGACAGCCCUUUCUUCGGCCAUCAGUCAGGCUCCUUCCCCAGCCACCCUUCAUUGCCAGUGGGCUGGUGAAGACAGGGACUGAGGUAGCUGGGAUGGAGGUCACACAUAGGCUCAGCACAGGAGCUCCACUCACCAAGGCCCAUCCACUAAGUGCCCGCCUGCCCCAGUGUUGCAGGGGAUCUACCAGCUUCCAGGUGGAGUGGAUGAUAUGAGACAGCUGCCGGCAUGGAACUGGCACUGCUGUGCUUUCACCAGGAUAGAGGCUUGCUCUGCAGGUGGACUGGCCCUCCGUGCCCACGGUGCUUUUGCUGAAACCACCUGUGGACUCUGGCGCGCCUCAUUCAGCAUUCUCACACUGCUGCUCAAGGAAUUCGCCACAGUUAAUGGAGUAGGGCAAAGGCCCCAUGCUCGUGACUUUGAAGUUCUUCUGUGGUCCUCCUCUCCCCGAAGCAGCUCACAAACAUGACCAUGGAAUGGCCUUCUGGAGACUCACAUGGUGCCUGCUGAGUGGGGACGCUUUGCAGAACGGGCUGUGUCCUCCAGGAGGCAGUCCAGGCUCUGAAUUAAAGUCAGUCUGUGGAGUGGUUUCUCCUGCAGCCCAGACCUCAUGGUUCUGGGAGUCAAGGAGGGGAAGCAGCAAUGGCUUCUCUUUCACCCUCAUGAAAUUCUGCUGGUCAUGUGUUUGCUCCCUGUCCUCACAACUCUAGGUCCUCUUGGUGUAGAAGUCUGAGUUCUCGAGGGAGGAGGGUUUCCCGCAGAGGCACCACAAUGGCUCCACCAGACUGGAAGGUGAAAUUGCACCAGGUCAUUUUGGGAUCCUCACUGCAGAAAAUCAACAGGUAAAGAAGGCAGUUACUGCCUGGGCCAGGGGACUGAUUUUAUCAGGCAGAAUCGGCCGGGUUGCACAAGGAGGAUGAAGAGGAGCACGUCUGGAAUGCGGAGGGUCCCCUGCAGCGCCUCUUCAUGUUCCCAUGUCCUGUGAUUAAAAUCAUGGAAAACCAUCACCCCCGAUCCAAGCAGGGCCACUCAUGACCCAGGCUCUCCAGGAAUGAAGGCUUAGGUCAUCCCACCAGGCAAAGAGCCACAUCAGCUGAGUGCUUGCAGAGGCAAAGGCUAUGCGGGAGACGGAGGCUGAAACGCUAGUUCCCGCUGCACGGCUGCUGCAGAAAUGAAGCCUACAAUAGAUGUGGGUCUUUUCUUCUUAUUUUGAUCCGAGUGUAUUGGGUGGGGGACCACAUUAGCCACUGUUUCUUCUCCUCUUCCCUACCACUUCAUACGGUACUACUGUAUGAAGUGUACCGUUGAUAACAGUUGAUAUUUAAUUAUCUCAGACAUCUCAGUGUUUAAAUUUUAGGCUAUCAGUCCAGGCACGGUGGCUCAGGCAUGUAUUCCUAGCACUUUGGGAGGCUGAGGCAGGCGGAUCACCUGAGGUCAGGAGUUCAAGACUAGCCUGGCCAAUGUGGUGAAACCCCAUCUCUACUAAAAUACCCAGGAGGUGGAGGUUGCAGUGAGUCGAGAUUGCACUACUGCACUCCAGCCUGCACAACAGAGCGAGACUCUGUCUCAAAAAAAAAAAA
ensembl:lncRNA